rnacentral:rRNA from 6 species
AAUUUGAAAUCUGGCCCCCUCGGGGUCCGAGUUGUAAUUUGUAGAGAGUGCUUCGGGGGAGACCGCGGUCUAAGUCCAUUGGAACAUGGCGUCAUAGAGGGUGAGAAUCCCGUAUGCGACCGUGGUUCGAACCCGUGUGAAGCCUCUUCGACGAGUCGAGUUGUUUGGGAAUGCAGCUCAAAAUGGGUGGUAAAUUUCAUCUAAAGCUAAAUACUGGCUGGAGACCGAUAGCGCACAAGUAGAGUGAUCGAAAGAUGAAAAGCACUUUGGAAAGAGAGUUAAAAAGUACGUGAAAUUGUUGAAAGGGAAGCGCUGGCAACCAGACCUGUCCGCAGGCGAUCAGCCGCUGUUCUCAGCGGUGCACUCGCUCUGCGAUCAGGCCAGCAUCGGUUUCGGCGGUCGGAUAAAGGCCUUGGGAAUGUAGCUCCCCCUCGGGGGAGUCUUAUAGCCCUCGGUGCAAUGCGGCCAGCCGGGACCGAGGACCGCGCUUCGGCUAGGAUGCUGGCGUAAUGGUUGUCAGCGACCC